ensembl:lncRNA
GCUUCCCAUUUUAGUGUAGGAAGCACUUUAAUGUUCAAGCAUUUUGUCUUUUCAAACUACGGAGUGAAAUUACCAUCGAUAAUGGCUUUCACAGAAAUGAGCAGAUAUUUUCUAUGAAUUUGGAUUUAUAGUCAAUGAACAACUCAUUUUUUCAACCAUCUCAACUCUCAUUUUUUAUAUUAGGAUUUUCCCCAUUCUUUGAAAGAUGAAAGCACUGACGAAAAGUCCACCUCAAUAGGCAUAGGAAUUACUGUGGGAAUGAAACAGACACCCGAGAUCCCUCAGACCCAGUCCUGGUUUGGAUCCAACUGAUACAGUGCUGGCUUCAAAGUCACCAUGUUACUGGAGUCCUGGUUGAAGACCUGUUCUAUGGUUUGGAUCAAAAAUAUGUCCCCAAAG